rnacentral:rRNA from 1 species
CCUACGGGAGGCAGCAGUGGGGAAUAUUGCGCAAUGGGCGAAAGCCUGACGCAGCGACGCCGCGUGAGGGAUGAAGGUCUUCGGAUCGUAAACCUCUGUCAGCAGGGAAGAACGGUCACUGUGCUAAUCAGCAGUGAAUUGACGGUACCUGCAAAGGAAGCACCGGCUAACUCCGUGCCAGCAGCCGCGGUAAUACGGAGGGUGCGAGCGUUAAUCGGAAUUACUGGGCGUAAAGCGUUCGUAGGCGGUAUGUCAAGUCAAGGGUGAAAUCCCCGCGCUCAACGUGGGAACUGCCUUUGAAACUGGCAAACUGGAGUGUGUGAGAGGAUAGUGGAAUUCCAGGUGUAGGGGUGAAAUGCGUAGAUAUCUGGAGGAACAUCAGUGGCGAAGGCGACUAUCUGGCACAUAACUGACGCUGAGGAGCGAAAGCGUGGGUAGCAAACAGGAUUAGAUACCCUUGUAGUC